rnacentral:lncRNA from 1 species
GCAGCUUGUAUCCAGGGAGAUAUUUUACAUUUUCAUGUUCAUUAUUUAUUAUAUCUGUCAGUUUUCUCCCAUUAAUAUUCUCCUCGAAGACCCACAUCUUCACUGUGGAAGCAAACUUUUGCAAUUUUUUUACAUUAUUGCCUAUUAUUUUGGCAACCGCAGAACCCCAGUUCCCCGAGCCCACGAUGCACACCCUGAGGGGCGCCCCGGAGAGCGCCAUGGCAGCGCCGCCCGCGCCCCGCCA